UUAUGGCCAUAUCAGGUUGAAACACCAGUUCUCAUAUGAUCAUGGAAGUUAAGCAACAUCAAGCCUGGUCAGUACCUAGAUAGGUGACCACUUGGGAAUACCUGGUGCUGUAA